AAGAAAAAUGGAACACAGCAGUUUCAUGACUCACAACAACUCUUCCAUAAUAACCAAUGUGAUAAAAACAUUUUUUCAGGGAAACAAAUUUCAGUUUUAGCCUUCCAAAUGACUAUUACGAAAAUUAACAACUAAUAAAAAAUUGAAAUACUAAAAGACAUCAUGUAUCCUCUCAAACUAUUUAUUUAUUGUACUCAUACAUAUUCUUAAGUGCAAUAAAAUCUGCCUAGAAAUCAUUAAUCCACUAGUAUAUAGUCCUUACUUGGUGCUGGCAACUGAAAAUUUGGUCUUUUUAUAUACAAAUUGUUACACGCAUGAAAAGUAGUCCAAUAAUGGCACUUUUUAUAGGUUAUUUCAUAAGUACUCUUGGUUGGACAUAUGCUAAAGUAUUGUUACAGGUUGCUGAGGCAACCCGCCUGCUACAGUUGUGGUUAACUCUAAAAUUUACUGAUAAUGCUGACCUGAGACUUGAGUCUUAUCUUCACUGAAUGCAGUACAGGUGUAUUGUAGGUAGGCUGUAGGAGGACCAUAGCUACCUCUAAAUCUUUACAGAAGAUUUUGAAUGUGGCUUUUGUUGCAUAGAAAAUAAAUAAAAUAAAAUAAAUCUCUACAGAAGACUGGCAAGAGAUUGGUGCAUAUUUAAUAGCAAACAGUGGGAUGCUUUGAAAGGGAUGGAUAACAUAGAACAUUGAACAGCAAGAGCUUUAGUGGGGUUUAGGUUUUAGUAGUUGUCCAGCCAAGACUCUGCCUGUUACUGAAGCUAGGGAUAUGUGGAGUGACCAAUUUACAUCAGUCAUAGUAGAGAAGUAAUUGCUUUUAUCUGACAAAAGCAGUCUGGACCCAGUCAACAACAUGCUGAUGCUACAGUCCCUAUUCUUGAUGUUUUAUUGGAAAGUGGUAAGACUUCUUUUUCUCUCUGAGCUGGUACCACCAAUUUGCAGUGGUAUGUUCUAGAAGCAAAUCAUAUUUCAGAGCUCUUUGGUUGUGUAAUUUUUUUCAAUAGGCAUGAUGAGUAUUCUGGAAGCUGUAUCAUGGUGCCUUUUGCUUGGCUGUGUGUCAUUACUAUAAUGCAUAGGUUUUUUACUUGUUUGUGUGAUUGUUUUUAUUCCAAAGACUGCCAUCCAGGGCCAUGCAGCAAACAAGCAACAGGGAAAUAUCCCACUAUGCAAUCCUAUUUUGAGAUGAUAUUUAGGAUGAGAGAACAUGCAUUAGUUACCUACCAGCUUGACAGGAAUGGAUUUCCAAAUCUGACACACCAUAGCCUGAAUUCUCACCAGUUUGCUCCUGGAAAGGCCCGCUCAUGCAUGAGCCCCUGCCACUCUUCUAAAUAAGCUUCCAGGCAUUACCUGCAUGCUGUGUUCCUGUGGUGGGAUGGCAGUAAUCUCUGCUAAGAUAAACGGGAGCUUCUGUGGAUAAAGCAUAAACGCAGUGAAGUGUGUGUGGCUGGAAGAUUUAAUGCCUCUACAGUGCUUAGAUACAAGUUGAGCUUGGAAUUCCAGAGGUAGAGCACUGCUGAUUGGAGACAUAUUAAGUAAAAUGUACUGUGGAAAUGAGAUAAAACCUUUAUUCUUGCUAAUGAUUGUCAUUGUAUGUAUUCAGGUGUCCAACAAAGGAUUUUAGAAUAAAGUGUGCCUUUAAAGUUUCCCACCUUCUUAAAGCUCCCAAUGAAUUGCAAAGGGCCUGUUUGGAAUGGACUGUAUUAAAUCUACUUCAAAUGAAAACCUUUACACUGAGUGAAAUAUGGUUCAACAAUUCUUAACACAAGGCCUUUACACUUGUGUAGCCCAUUUUGGUUUGGCCUAUCUUGUCACUAGAAUGCUGUCUGAGCUUGGAUUAUUUAUGCCCUAAGAUUUACUUAAAAUUGAAGGGAGUAUUUCCAUUCAUCAACACUAGUUUUGAUAGAUGCUUAAAAGGUGCAGUGAGGUUGAU
rnacentral:lncRNA from 1 species